GUUGUCUUCUCUUUAAAAUGAGGAGAGUUCCUACCUACCUGCUUUAAAGGGCUGUUGUAAUGAAUAAGGUAGAGUGCAUCCGUGAUGGGCUUGAGCUAGAAGCUGGCAUGUGGAAGGCUCUAUGUGGCACAGCCUCUUCACCACCAUUACUAGGCGUGAUCUUACGUGGGCAGCAAAUCAAACCACGCAAAGUGCUCCACCUUGGGAGACGUCUUAUAUGUUCAAACGUUCCCACGUUCUCUCAACAUGUGUGUUUUUGUAAGGUACAGUAUGUUACUAAAAAGUUUGAGGGGUAAGUGCCAGGAUUUCUUAAAUAAAACUAACUAAAAUCUUAGUGGAAUAUAAACUACUUAUAUUCUAACAGUGAAAUAUACUUUGUUAGUAAUCUGAAGUUAAAUGUUUAUAUAUAUGUUGAUACAUAUGCUAUUAUAGGAAAUUCAAAAUAAUUGGAGAUUAUAAAAGUGGUAAGAAACUAUGAAGUUGAAUAAAGACAUAAUAAAUAAAGCUAAAAAUGAGUUUUUACUCUAGUGAGGAGAUGGGAGAAGACUGCCAGGCAGAUUAGAGUUAACAAACAUUUCCUUAUAAAUUAACAUAGGUUAGCUGUGUUUGGAAAGCUAAUGUUAAUAGUUAUAAUGGUAACAUUUAAAUUCUUUAAAUAUCAUAAAUGCUUGAAGGCAAAAGAAAUCCACAAGAGACACAGACCAGGUGAGUUAGGAGGCAGAGGCAGGAUGCAGAAGAGAUUUGGGUCCCCCUCCUGCCCACAAUACACAAAACGAUGAUCAGCUGAACACCCAGCACGUAUGAGAAUGGAAACAACCUUACUAGCCAAAGUGUAAGCUCUCAUCUACCCGCCACCCAGGCUCAAGAUAAUAAGAGUGAUGACCUGAGAGUUGUGGACAGAACCCACAAUGUAAUGGAAGGCACCUUUAAAGAUACUGUUACGGGAGCCAUAUUGUUAGAAUUUGUCAAGUUGGCACACAGAGAAGGGACAAAAGUCAGAUGACAAAUGAUGCUAAAUCUCACCCUCAGCAUAGAGGGUGUCUAUGCCCACCCUCUAAAGGGUACAAACUAACAAUCCCUCAUGAAACCAUCAGCAGGGCUUAAAAAUGAAAGCACACUCAGCUCUAGGCUCCAUUUAAAUACGCAGCUACACCAUGCCAUAUACGCAGCAGAAGCAGGCUUUACCCAGCCAGUAGUCUUAGACAAUACUGUACCAUCUGAACUCUAUAACCACAUAGGAUAUAUUUUUUUUUUGGUUUUUAGAUGGAGCUUCACUCUUGUUGGCCAGUCUGGAGUGCAAUGGUGUGAUCUUGGCUCACUGCAACCUCCACCUCCCAGGUUCAAGUGAUUCUGUCUCAGCCUCCCAAGUAGCUGGGAUUACAGGUGCAUGCCACCUCACCGGGCUAAUUUUUGUAUUUUUAGUAGAGACGGGGUUUCAUUAUAUUGGUCAGGCUGGUCUUGAACUCCUGCCAUCAGGUGAUCCGCCCACCUUGGCCCCCCAAAGUGCUGGGAUUACAGACGUGAGCCACCGUGCCCGGCCGGAUAUAAUUAUUAUAUUCAAC
rnacentral:lncRNA from 1 species